GAUGAACGCUGGCGGCGUGCCUAAUACAUGCAAGUCGAACGCAUAGCGAAAGGUGCUUGCACCUUUCAAGUGAGUGGCGAACGGGUGAGUAACACGUGGACAACCUGCCUCAAGGCUGGGGAUAACAUUUGGAAACAGAUGCUAAUACCGAAUAAAACUUAGUGUCGCAUGACACAAAGUUAAAAGGCGCUUCGGCGUCACCUAGAGAUGGAUCCGCGGUGCAUUAGUUAGUUGGUGGGGUAAAGGCCUACCAAGACAAUGAUGCAUAGCCGAGUUGAGAGACUGAUCGGCCACAUUGGGACUGAGACACGGCCCAAACUCCUACGGGAGGCUGCAGUAGGGAAUCUUCCACAGUGGGCGAAAACCUGAUGGAGCAACGCCGCGUGUGUGAUGAAGGCUUUCGGGUCGGAAAGCACUGUUGUAUGGGAAGAACAGCUAGAAUAGGAAAUGAUUUUAGUUUGACGGUACCAUACCAGAAAGGGACGGCUAAAUACGUG
rnacentral:rRNA from 1 species